GCGGGAGUCGCUCAGUCGGCAGAGCGCAACCUUUCCAAGGUUGAGGUCGCGAGUUCGAGCCUCGUUUCCCGCUCCA
rnacentral:tRNA from 2 species